AUUGAACGCUGGUGGCAUGCUUUACACAUGCAAGUCGAACGGCAGCGCGGGCUUCGGCCUGGCGGCGAGUGGCGAACGGGUGAGUAAUGCAUCGGAACGUGCCCAGUAGUGGGGGAUAGCCCGGCGAAAGCCGGAUUAAUACCGCAUACGACCUGAGGGUGAAAGCGGGGGACCGAAAGGCCUCGCGCUAUUGGAGCGGCCGAUGUCGGAUUAGCUAGUUGGUGGGGUAAAGGCUUACCAAGGCGACGAUCCGUAGCUGGUCUGAGAGGACGACCAGCCACACUGGGACUGAGACACGGCCCAGACUCCUACGGGAGGCAGCAGUGGGGAAUUUUGGACAAUGGGGGCAACCCUGAUCCAGCCAUGCCGCGUGCGGGAAGAAGGCCUUCGGGUUGUAAACCGCUUUUGUUCGGGAAGAAAUCCUCUGGGCUAAUACCCCGGGGGGAUGACGGUACCGGAAGAAUAAGCACCGGCUAACUACGUG
rnacentral:rRNA from 1 species